rnacentral:rRNA from 1 species
CUUCGGAUGGGGGGCACCCUGACCGAGCACGCCGCGUGAGUGAAGAAGGUUUUCGGAUCGUAAAGCUCUGUUGUAAGAGAAGAACGUGUGUGAGAGUGGAAAGUUCACACAGUGACGGUAACUUACCAGAAAGGGACGGCUAACUACGUGCCAGCAGCCGCGGUAAUACGUAGGUCCCGAGCGUUGUCCGGAUUUAUUGGGCGUAAAGCGAGCGCAGGCGGUUUAAUAAGUCUGAAGUUAAAGGCAGUGGCUUAACCAUUGUUCGCUUUGGAAACUGUUAGACUUGAGUGCAGAAGGGGAGAGUGGAAUUCCAUGUGUAGCGGUGAAAUGCGUAGAUAUAUGGAGGAACACCGGUGGCGAAAGCGGCUCUCUGGUCUGUAACUGACGCUGAGGCUCGAAAGCGUGGGGAGCAAACAGGAUUAGAUACCCUGGUAGUCCACGCCGUAAACGAUGAGUGCUAGGUGUUAGGCCCUUUCCGGGGCUUAGUGCCGCAGCUAACGCAUUAAGCACUCCGCCUGGGGAGUACGACCGCAAGGUUGAAACU